rnacentral:rRNA from 2 species
UUAUAUCAUUAAAUUAAGAAGAUUUGGCGGUAUUUUAAAUAAUUAGAGGAACCUGUGUAGUAAUUGAUAAUCCACGAUAAGAAAAACUUAAAAAUUUAUGUAUUGCUGUUAUUAGAUUAUUAUAAAUUAAAUUUUUAAGUUUUUAUUUUAAAAUAAUUCAAGUCAAAAUAUAGUUUAAUUAAGACAUGGGUUACAAUUAAAUUUUGAAAAAGGAUUUAAUAGUAA